UUGACACCCUAGGGUUUUUGUAUACGAACUCCCUCGUUCAUUCUUCACUGCCUUGUCUACCCCCGCAGCUUUUCCAGGAUCACCGAUGGUUCGUGUCGUGUUUUCAGUAAAUCUCAAAUUAACUUAUGAGGGAACUAUGUCCGGCCUUAUUGUAUGUGGCCCCGGUUAAACCAACAGUUACAGUACCUAAAUGUUUAUAUAUGUUGAUUUGGUGUCGUAUAUAUGAGUUGAAUCUUAAAAUAAAAUUUGGUGCUUUCAUUAGUUCCGUCUCACGUGAUGAAUAGAGAACCAAAAACAAGCCUUCAGGUAUUCGUUUGACUUUGACUUGUGGUUUUGACUUUGACAUGUUCUUGAAUUCUUUUAUCUACGAAUGAACGUGUGCCGUGCAAAAGCACCUGAUCGAUGCAGUUUGGACCAACGUCUCUAUAACAGACGAGUUUCUUCCCAGGUACACGACAUACCCUUACCUUAACUAGACAUAAAUUUGGCAGACAAUUAACAAGCACCAAGAACUUUUCUAAAACACGCAGGGCAAAACGAACCAAUAGACAAAACGCACUCGCUACAAGAGCUAAACACGGGCCACAAGACACAUCUAUUGUUAAGAGCGCUAGACAUCAUUCGGUUUUGCACGCCGCAACGCGCGCGGGGAAAAUCCUAGUUAAGAUGAAUAGUAAAUACGGGAAGAAAAGUUGGUAAAUUUAAAAGUCAAAUUAAUGAAUUUGGAGGUUUGUAUAGUACUUUUCUUUUCCAUCUCUUUAGAAAAAAUCAUAGACUUGACUUAAAAAAAACAAAUUUAGUUUUCGAAUUUUCGAAUUGGGUUUUCAGUCAAUUCGAAUUCAUAUUUCAGUUACGUGAGUUUCCGGAUAUUAAACCUUGAAUUAUAUAAAUAUGUAUUUUAUUUAUUAUAAUUAUAAACUAUAAAUAAGCAACAUGUAUAUGCUUGUGUUAGUUAUACCAUUGGUUUUAUGAGUUUUUAAAAAAAUGUAUUUUUCCUUUUUAAUCCUAAAGUUUCAAUCUUUGGCAAUUUAAGUCUAAAGUUUCAUUCUUUGGUAAUUUAAACCCUUUGAUUAGUUUGAUUUUUCCCUUGUAAUUCAAAAGUUUCUAUCUUUUGCAAUUUAACCACUUUGAUUUACUUUUAACUCAAAAUUUUUCAUCAUUUGCGGUUUAACUCCAACACUUUUAACUUUCAACUUUGGUCCUUUUCAUUUGCAAUUUUUCCGUUUAAAACUUUUCGUUUAACGGUUCAUUCUAAAUUUUCCGAGUUAACAUGCCGCAACAUGCGUGAGGGGUUUAACGUUUUUCAUCUAUUUUUUCCCGUUUCACAGGCAUGUCGCAGCGCGUGGUGCAAACGAGCCAAUUAACUUAUGAGAGUUCGAGCUCGAGCUCAAUUAACUUAUGAGAGCUCGAGCUCGGCUCGUUUGUAUUUUCUCAAGCUCGAGCACGGCUCGUUUGCAUUUUGUCAAGCUCGAGCUCGAGCUCAGCUCGGGCUCGGCUCGUUUAUCAUCUAUUAAUUAAUAUUA
rnacentral:lncRNA from 1 species